rnacentral:rRNA from 1 species
UACGUAGGGUGCAAGCGUUGUCCGGAAUUAUUGGGCGUAAAGAGCUCGUAGGCGGUUUGUCGCGUCUGCUGUGAAAUCCCGAGGCUCAACCUCGGGUCUGCAGUGGGUACGGGCAGACUAGAGUGCGGUAGGGGAGACUGGAAUUCCUGGUGUAGCGGUGGAAUGCGCAGAUAUCAGGAGGAACACCGAUGGCGAAGGCAGGUCUCUGGGCCAUUACUGACACUGAGAAGCGAAAGCAUGGGGAGCGAACAGG